GAUGGAGGGUAAAAGUGGAAAAACACCUAGGGUUUGUGUUUUCAGAUUCGAAAUCCCCAUUUGAGUUUUCUUAAGAAACUCGAUUUCCACCACUGUCAUAUGCUUCUCAAUUUCAUCUUUCAGACACCUUUUUCGUUUGAUUUUACGGUCCAGGUUUGGUCUUCAGAUUUGUGUCGCGCGUUUCGUCUUCGGAUUUGUGUCGCGCGUUUCCAUCAAGAAACUCCAUUUCUGUCGCGCGUUUCGUCUUCGGAUUUUACGGAUAUAGUGAUAUGGACAAAGAAGUCAGUGAAAUGGCCUCACUUAGAGUUAGGCAUCGAGUCCAGACACAACAUAUAGUUCAAGUGAACGGUUGCCUAUCAUCCUUUCAAAAGGAACGUUUAAAGUCAACACCUUUCAAGUGGUUGGUGGAUAUGGUUGAUGAUAUGGUUAUUUCUAGCCCUAUUCUUAUAGAGUUAAUCAGUAGGUGGCAAAAAAAAUGCCCGAUUACACAACGGAGCAGUUACAACUUAUUCGACAACAAACGGUGUGUGAUUGGGUAUUACAUGAAGGAAAUAUGCAUAGAAGUACAGUAAUGAAGAACUGUGGAAUGCUAUAGCAAAUGAAGAAGUCAUGAAAUAGGAUAUAACUUGUAAUGAUGUUGCUGGAAUAUGAUAGAAUAUGAAACAAUUUUUGUUCUAUGGUUUUUUAAGUUGUUUACUAUGUAUAGUGAAGGAUUAGUUAUGCACUAGUAUCACCAAUGUCCAUUUUGUGUACAUAAGCUAUUAACUAAAUUAGCAGAACUUGCAGUGAACAAAAGUUAUUGAGCAAAUAACCAUAUAAAACUUAACAGAUAACCACUAACUGUUCGAAAAAUAUUUGACAUUGAAAUUGAAGUUGAACACUUGUAUUGUUGUGUCGUCCGUCUCUCUUCGUU